rnacentral:rRNA from 1 species
AAAGAGCUUGCUCUUUCCGGAAUUGAGUGGCAAACGGGUGAGUAACACGUAAACAACCUGCCUUCAGGAUGGGGACAACAGACGGAAACGACUGCUAAUACCGAAUAAGUUCCAAGAGCCGCAUGGCCCUGAUGUCAAAGAUUUAUCGCUGAAAGAUGGCCUCGCGUCUGAUUAGCUAGUUGGUGAGGUAACGGCCCACCAAGGCGACGAUCAGUAGCCGGACUGAGAGGUUGACCGGCCACAUUGGGACUGAGAUACGGCCCAGACUCC